rnacentral:rRNA from 1 species
GACGAACGCUGGCGGCGUGCCUAAUACAUGCAAGUAGAACGCAGUUGCGAACGGGUGAGUAACGCGUAGGUAACUGCCUGGUAGCGGGGAAAACUAAUUGAAAAGAUAGUUAAUACCGCCUAAUAACUGGUGGAACUCCGUUUGAUUAGCUAGUUGGGGGGGGAACGGGUCACCAAGGCAAAGAUAACAAGCCGACCUUGGAGGGGGAUCGGCCAAACUGGGACUGAGAACACGCCCAGACCCCUUCGGGAGGCAGCAGUAGGGAAUCUUCGGCAAUGGACGGAAGUCUUACCGAGCAACGCCGCGGUAGUGAAGGAGGUUUUCGGAUCGUAAAGCUCUGUUGGAAGAGAAGCGGUAUCUUACCAGAAAGGGACGGCUAACUACGUGCCAGCAGCCGCGGUAAUAC